rnacentral:tRNA from 1 species
CCUUCGAUAGCUCAGUUGGUAAAGGCGGAGGACUGUCAGUUGAUAACUGCAGGGAUCCUUAGAUCACUGGUUCCAUUCUGGCUCAAAGGA